ACGGCUCAGUAACACGUGGACAACGUGCCCUAAAGUGGAGCAUAAUCUCGGGAAACUGAGGAUAAUUCUCCAUAGACCAUGAGAUCUGGAAUGACUUAUGGUUCAAAGUUCCGGCGCUUUAGGAUCGGUCUGCGGCCUAUCAGGUAGUAGUGGGUGUAACGUACCCCCUAGCCAGUUACGGGUAUGGGCCUUGAGAGAGGGAGCCCAGAGUUGGAUUCUGAGACACGAAUCCAGGCCCUACGGGGCGCAGCAGUCGCGAAAACUUCACAAUGGGCGAAAGCCCGAUGAGGGAAUUCCUAGUGCUAGCACAUUUGUGUUAGCUUUUCCUUAGCGUAGAUAACUAGGGGAAUAAGGGCUGGGUAAGACGGGUGCCAGCCGCCGCGGUAAUACCCGCAGCCCGAGUGGUGGUCGAUUUUAUUGAGUCUAAAACGUUCGUAGCCGGUCUGAUAAAUCCCUGGGUAAAUCGGGUGGCUUAACCAUCCGAAUUCCGGGGAGACUGUCAGGCUUGGGAUCGGGAGAGGUAUGAGGUACUUCAGGGGUAGGGGUAAAAUCCUGUAAUCCUUGGAGGACCACCGGUGGCGAAGGCGUCAUACUAGAACGAAUCCGACGGUGAGGGACGAAGCCCUAGGUCGCAAACGGGAUUAGAUACCCCGGUAGUCUAGGGUGUAAACGCUGCAGACUAGGUGUUGGAGGCCCUACGGGGGCACCCAGUGCCCGAGAGAAGUUGUUAAGUCUGCUACUUGGGGAGUACGUCCGCAAGGAUGAAACUUAAAGGAAUUGGCGGGGGAGCAC
rnacentral:rRNA from 1 species